rnacentral:rRNA from 1 species
UGGUGACUAUAGCAAGGAGGUCACACCUGUUCCCAUGCCGAACACAGAAGUUAAGCUCCUUAGCGUCGAUGGUAGUCGAAAAACGUCAAAAUAAAAGCAAACA